rnacentral:rRNA from 1 species
UACGAAGGGGGCGAGCGUUGUUCGGAAUUACUGGGCGUAAAGGGUGCGUAGGCGGUUUAAUAAGAUAGGGGUGAAAUCCCAGGGCUCAACCUUGGAAUUGCCUUUAUGACUGUUAGACUUGAGUAAUGGAGAGGAUAGUGGAAUACCCAGUGUAGAGGUGAAAUUCGUAGAUAUUGGGUAGAACAUCAGUGGCGAAGGCGACUAUCUGGUCAUUAACUGACGCUGAGGCACGAAAGCGUGGGGAGCAAAC